rnacentral:rRNA from 1 species
AUCCGUAGGGGGUGAGCGUUGUCCGGAAUGAUUGGGCGUAAAGGGCGCGUAGGCGGCCCGGUAAGUCUGGAGUGAAAGUCCUGGUUUUAAGCUGGGACUGCAUUGGAAACUGGAGGGCUCGAGUACUGGAGGGGGAGGGGGAAUUCCUGGUGGAGAGGGGAAAUGCAUAGAUAUCAGGAAGAACACCGGUGGCGAAGGCGGCUUGCUGGACAGAGACUGACGCUGAGGCUCGAAGGCGUGGGGAGCAAACAGGAUUAGAUACCCUGGUAGUCCACGCUGUAAACGAUGAAUGCUAGGUAUCGGUAUCCAUAGGGUAUCGGUGCCGCAGUUAACGCAAUAAGCAUUCCGCCUGGGGAGUACGUUCGCAAGAAUGAAACUCAAAUGAAUUGGCGGGG